AGACCCGUAGCUUAAUUGGUAAAGCCACUUUCUAUGCAUGAGUUCAUGCAUUGAACCCUCCACACUGAUGCAGGUUCAAAUCCUGCCGGGUCUA